rnacentral:rRNA from 1 species
AGGUCCAGCCUGCCCAGUGAAACUUAUUUCAACGGCCGCGGUAUCCUAACCGUGCAAAGGUAGCGUAAUCACUUGUCCUUUAAAUAUGGACCCGUAUGAAUGGCUAAUUGAGGGUGACACUGUCUCAUACGAUUAAUCAAUGAACCUGAUUUCCCAGUACAAAAGCUGGGAUAAAACCACAAGACGAGAAGACCCUGUGGAGCUUCAAGCCAAAAUACUGACUCACUCUAAAACAGUAUUCGCCUUAAGUUGGGGCAACUACGGAGAAAAACAGAACCUCCGUGAUACAAAGGAGUUUGAAACACCACCAAGGGGGACACCCCAAAAGUGCUGCCCUUUAUGACCCAGUAAAACUGAACACCGAACCAAGUUACCCCAGGGAUAACAGCGCCAUCCCCCUCAAGAGUCCACAUCAACAGGGGGGCUUACGACCUCGAUGUUGGAUCAGGACACCCAGGUGGUGCAGCCGCUACCAAUGGUCCGUUUGUUCAACGGCUAACGUCCU